rnacentral:rRNA from 1 species
GCCUGCCCAGUGACUCUGUUCAACGGCCGCGGUAUCCUAACCGUGCAAAGGUAGCGUAAUCACUUGUUCAUUAAAUGUGGACUAGUAUGAAUGGCACCACGAAGGUUAUACUGUCUCCUUUCUCUAAUCAGUGAAACUAAUCUCCUCGUGAAGAAGCGAGGAUUAAACGAUAAGACGAGAAGACCCUAUGGAGCUUGAAACAAUACAGCACUUACUAAACACGCACAACUUUCUGAAUAUUAACACCAUUAAUGACAUGUCUGUAAGUUUUUGGUUGGGGUGACCACGGAGAAUAACUUAACCUCCAUGCUGAAAUUUAACCCAGGACUACCUCCCUAAGUAUUAGCACUUUAACAUUAAUUGACCCAAUACACUUGAACAACGAACUAAGUUACCCUAGGGAUAACAGCGCA